rnacentral:rRNA from 1 species
UACGGGGGGAGCAAGCGUUGUUCGGAUUUACUGGGCGUAAAGGGCGCGUAGGCGGUCAGCACAAGUCAGUUGUGAAAUCUCCGGGCUUAACUCGGAAAGGUCAACUGAUACUGUGCGACUAGAGUGCGGAAGGGGCAACUGGAAUUCUUGGUGUAGCGGUGAAAUGCGUAGAUAUCAAGAGGAACACCAGUGGCGAAGGCGACUCACUGGACACAUAUUGACGCUGAGGUGCGAAAGCUUGGGGAGCAAACAGG